rnacentral:rRNA from 1 species
CAGCAGCCGCGGUAAUACGUAGGUCCCGAGCGUUGUCCGGAUUUAUUGGGCGUAAAGCGAGCGCAGGCGGUAUGAUAAGUCUGAAGUUAAAGGCUGUGGCUCAACCAUAGUUCGCUUUGGAAACUGUCAAACUUGAGUGCAGAAGGGGAGAGUGGAAUUCCAUGUGUAGCGGUGAAAUGCGUAGAUAUAUGGAGGAACACCGGUGGCGAAAGCGGCUCUCUGGUCUGUAACUGACGCUGAGGCUCGGAAGCGUGGGGAGCGAACAGGAUUAGAUACCCCAGUAGUCCCUGUCUCUUAUACC